GAUGAAGAACGCAGCGAAAUGCGAUAAGUAAUGCGAAUUGCAGAAUUCAGUGAAUCAUCGAAUCUUUGAACGCACAUUGCGCCCGCUAGUAUUCUGGCGGGCAUGCCUGUCUGAGCGUCAUUUCAACCCUCGCCCCCGGCUUUUGCUGGGAGCGGUGUUGGGGAUCGGCCGCCCGUCACUGGAGGCCGGCCCCGAAAUAGAGUGGCGACCACGCCGUGUGCUCCUCUGCGUAGUAGUAAAUCACCUCGCAGGCGGACAGCGGUGCGGCCUGCCGUAAAACCCCCAACUCUUUCUGGUUGACCUCAGAUCAGGUAGGAAUACCCGCUGAACUUAAGCAUAUCAAUAAGCGGAGGA
rnacentral:misc_RNA from 1 species